rnacentral:sRNA from 1 species
GAACUCAUCAUGUAAUUCAAUCUUGUAGAAUAGAGCAAGAUUUUAAGAAGCUAAGUCAACAUCAGUUGUUUGGACCAAUUAACCAUAUCGGGUGGUUGCUAAUAUUUGAAGAGUACAGAGUCUCCCUCAAUCAUCGAAGUACUCCCAAGAUUCACAAAUUAUUACACCCAUUCAGAUUAAAAUAUUCAAAACUGUUGCACAAAACAGAUGGUGUGGCAGCAAAUGACAUAUUUCUGAUCAUCAUAUUCAGGGGACUUCAACUCAUUUAUAAGCCUAUCUGAGUAGGAGCAGUUAUUGAGCCAAAAGUGCACCAAAUACAUGAAAUCCCAGAAACCAAGACAGCUCAACUGAGCUGAGCCUUAUCCCAUACUUAUGUAGGAUCAACUAUAUGAAUCUCCCUCUCCCGCUCCCACGUAAUCAAAUACCUUGCACCAAAGUUAAACCACAAAGACUUCAAUCCAUUUUAAUUACCACAUUUCAUGUGAUUGAAAAAUUAGUGAACUUGAACUUUAAAAACUCUGCAUGAGUCAACUUUUCAUAUUGAAAGCAAUUGUUCUAAAAUUUCUCAACAUGUCAAAUAAUAAGGGUAAAACAUUCAUUAGAAGGUUUUUUUUCGAGAACCUAAAUUAACAUUUAUUUAUUUAUUUAUUACAGGCAGUUAAUGUGGUGCACAAUUUCAAAGAAAUUUACUCAUAUAGGAAACACGAAUACACUGCAUCUAGCACUUUACCUUUCUUUAUCCUCUUGCACUUGAAACACUAAUCAGGAAGAAAAAGGUAUCGCCACUUCAAGUUAUCAAAAAUCAGAAAUACUUCAAACAUUUGUUGUGCCAUUAAUCAAAUAGAACUAGAUGGAAACAGCAGGAACAGAAACAGACUGGUCAAAAAAUACCCAUCAUCUAAAUGAUCUUCCUUGAUUAAAAAAAGAAAUAGGUGUUAUCAGCUAAGCACAUCAUAAAUAGAAAACUAUAUGGGAACUACACGAACCAAUGAGCUCGAAAUUUAAAGU